rnacentral:rRNA from 1 species
GAGUAGCGCGUGGUUUACCUGCCCUGGAGUGGGGGAUAACCGAGGGAAACUUCGGCUAAUACCGCAUGCGCCCGGAGCAAUCCGGGGAAAGAUUUAUCGCUCUAGGAGGGGCCCGCGUCGGAUUAGCUAGUUGGUGGGGUAAUGGCCUACCAAGGCGAUGAUCCGUAGCUGGUCUGAGAGGAUGAUCAGCCACACUGGGACUGAGACACGGCCCAGACUCCUACGGGAGGCAGCAGUGGGGAAUAUUGGACAAUGGGCGAAAGCCUGAUCCAGCAAUGCCGCGUGAGUGAGGAAGGCCUUAGGGUUGUAAAGCUCUUUCGGCGGGGACGAUGAUGACGGUACCCGCAGAAGAAGCCCCGGCUAACUUUUUUGCCGCCAGCCGCGGUAAUACUACGGGGGCGAGCAGCGUUCGUUCGGAUUUACUGGGGCGUAAAGGGCGCGCAGGCGGUCGUGUUUGUCGAGUGUGAAAGCCCCGGGCUCAACCUGGGAAUUGCGCUCGAAACGGCGCGGCUAGAGUUCGGGAGAGGAGAGUGGAAUUCCCAGUGUAGAGGUGAAAUUC